rnacentral:rRNA from 1 species
CGGUACAUCGGUGACAGUGGUGCAUGGUUGUCGUCAGCUCGUGUCGUGAGAUGUUGGUUAAGUCCCGCAACGAGCGCAACCCCUAUUGUUAGUUGCCAUCAUUCAGUUGGGCACUCUAGCGAGACUGCCGGUAAUAAACCGGAGGAAGGUGGGGAUGACGUCAAAUCAUCAUGCCCCUUAUGACCUGGGCUACACACGUGCUACAAUGGUUGGUACAACGAGUUGCGAGUCGGUGACGGCGAGCUAAUCUCUUAAAGCCAAUCUCAGUUCGGAUUGUAGGCUGCAACUCGCCUACAUGAAGUCGGAAUCGCUAGUAAUCGCGGAUCAGCACGCCGCGGUGAAUACGUUCCCGGGCCUU